AGAGUUUGAUCCUGGCUCAGGACGAACGCUGGCGGCGUGCCUAAUACAUGCAAGUAGAACGCUGAAGGGAGAGCUUGCUCUUCUGGACGAGUUGCGAACGGGUGAGUAACGCGUAGGUAACCUGCCUGGUAGCGGGGGAUAACUAUUGGAAACGAUAGCUAAUACCGCAUAAUACUAGAUGUUGCAUGACAUUUGCUUAAAAGGUGCAAUUGCAUCACUACCAGAUGGACCUGCGUUGUAUUAGCUAGUUGGUGGGGUAACGGCUCACCAAGGCGACGAUACAUAGCCGACCUGAGAGGGUGAUCGGCCACACUGGGACUGAGACACGGCCCAGACUCCUACGGGAGGCAGCAGUAGGGAAUCUUCGGCAAUGGACGGAAGUCUGACCGAGCAACGCCGCGUGAGUGAAGAAGGUUUUCGGAUCGUAAAGCUCUGUUGUAAGAGAAGAACGAGUGUGAGAGUGGAAAGUUCACACUGUGACGGUAUCUUACCAGAAAGGGACGGCUAACUACGUGCCAGCAGCCGCGGUAAU
rnacentral:rRNA from 1 species